CCAUCCAUUGCCCCUAGGACUGUCCUCUGAAGUCAGUAAACAACCUUCUUCAUGUGGAAUGGCCCUCAGGCUGCCAGGCUGGUGCUGAACUUUAGCCUGGUAAUGCAGCCUUAUUUUCCAAAUACUAUGUUCCAGGUUCUUCACUGUCCCACCACACACAAGAGACUGCAACCUCCUCACGGCAAGGGCCCAUGUCUGCUACAUCUUCUGCAUCUCUGGGUAUGUACUUACAAGACCUCGACAAAACACUGACUGGAGAAUAUCACCCCUGACAGCUUGAUUUGCCCAUGAAAUCUACCCAGAGACCCCAAGGGAUCCCAGAUAUUGUCUAGCUGGUUCAGUACGACCGUUUCUAGAUGAGUGAAGAUAUUCCCUAAUAGCAUGACUGGAGCUGCUAUGUGGGUUGGCAACCAUUCAAGGUUGCCCCAUCUGCACCCCCCGGACACGUGAGUUCCUUUUCCUGCUGAAAAGAAGAUGAGCGUGGAGACAAAAGCUCCAAGUCACUCUUUGUGAAUUAUGUGGAAAGAGAACAAUCUUGAAAUAACUUGAAUAGCAAACCUCAGGGUAAUGAGAUCUUUGAAAGCACCAAAACAUAACGUUACAGAAAAAAUAGCUGCAAAGAAAUUCCCCCCCUCAAAAAAAAACCACCCUAUCAUGUCAUAGCACUCAAUCUAAUCUAAUUGUCUCUGCUUUCAGAACAUGGUCAAUUCAGAUCACAUUUCUGUAGUGACUUGAAGUAUUAAUACUGAGCUCAAUGUAUAAUGUUUAUUAAGCAGCAGCAUAUUGAUUUAUCCUUUUUCUCAUAGCUAUAUCAGUGCUUUUCCUAAAUGAGAAAAUACUGUCUUAUGAUAGCUCCCUCAACCUCACUGUCAUUCCUCACUCUAGUAUGGAGUCACCCAAACCAAGGCAUUGCUUACACUGGAAUGACUCCAAAUGGAAUGGUUGGGCAAGUUUGACAAAUAUCCCACUAAAUAUAUUGUCAAACAUGGGUUCUUAACCUUUCGCUCUGUCAUGGACCCUUCUGGCAGCCUGGUGAAACCUCUGGACCCCUCUUAGUGUUAAUGGCUCCACAUGACAGAUGAGGAAACCAAGUCUCAGACAGCUGAUGUGCCUUGCCUACAGUCACAAAUCCAUUAAAUGUCAGGACAGGAUUUCAACCAUACUUCUCGUGAAUUCCAACCCAAUGUUCUUGCCACUAUGACAUGCUCCCUCAGCAAGUGGGCAUUUUAUUUUCUUCCUUCCUUUUUUGGGGUAGUUCAGCAAUUGAGAAAAGGCAAAACAUGUUGACUCCUGUCUUUACUCAUAUCUAUGCCCUUGGUGUUCUGCUAAGUAGUGAGAAACCAGGCCACUCUUAACACCUCACCAUCUGGGAAAUCAAAAAGGGCUUCUCACAAAGAGAGUUUGAAAAAACUGUUUUUGUGCAUUCCCCCCAAAACAGAAGUCUGUUCAUUUCAUGUCUAAGUACUAUGUCUUCUUUGCCUUCAACUCUGAGAUUGCAUGAUUCUGUGAAGCUGGAAAGCAGCCAGACCUAAAACCAAGGCAGUUUCAGGUGGAGGGGAGGGGGACUCCCCAGUACAGAGGAGAGUCCCCUGUGGCUAAAGUUGUGUCAGGAGUGUUUGGUCCACCACUCAGAAGUUCCUGGCUCUCACCCUCCCAGGAAGUACAGAGCCCCAGGAGAGGGGCAACACAAAACCCUGGGGUGGGUCCAGGGGGGAAAGAUGUGACACGUUUGCACCCAUAAGUCUGGAAACCACAAGGUAUAGUAUAGGGAUGAUGGGAGCCACAAGAAGGAAAUGCAUUCUCUAGGCAGAAAACACUUCACCCACCAAAUAUCAGCACCCUGGACAAAGCUCUCUUUGCCUUGAACAAGUUGCAAUUCUGGGUAUCAAUGUAUAUUGUAUUUCCAAACUUAUUUCUAUCACUAUUUCAGAAACCUUAAACUGUUCCCUUUUUCAAACAACUAAACAAAGGAAUUGAGGUUUCAUGGAGGACAAAGUAGAAAAAUCCCAGUUCCAUUAAGGCUACUAAUUUAAUAGAACACGCUUUUCUCUUAGAAUUCUUUAGCAGAUCACAGGGAUUAAGUGUGUGCAUGCAUGUGCAAUCCUGUUAAUAACCCGCCCUAGGAGAAUGAUGGAACAUAUGGCUCCCUUCAUGCUAAUGACUUGGGUCUUGCUCUUUGCAAGGAACAGGUGUCACCAAACAGACAUUAAGGGGAACUUGAACAGAAAUGGCCACCUCAAAGAUUAAGGAAGUUCAUUUCAAAUCCUAUCAAGUGGAAACAGUUUCAGUUCUUCAAAUGUGUGAAUGAAUGAAUAAAAACACUUG